rnacentral:rRNA from 1 species
UGGGGAAUUGUUCACCAUGGGCGCAAGCCUGAUGACGCAAUGCCGCGUGGAGGAUGAAGGUCUUCGGAUUGUAAACUCCUGUUGCCAGGGACGCACGGCUCCGACCUAAUACGUCGGAGAAUGACGGUACCUGGCGAGGAAGCCCCGGCUAACUCUGUUCCAGCAGCCGCGGUAAUACGGAGGGGGCUAGCGUUGUUCGGAAUUACUGGGCGUAAAGCGCGCGUAGGCGGCUUUGUAAGUUAGAGGUGAAAGCCCGGAGCUCAACUCCGGAACUGCCUUUAAGACUGCAUCGCUAGAAUUGUGGAGAGGUAAGUGGAAUUCCGAGUGUAGAGGUGAAAUUCGUAGAUAUUCGGAAGAACACCAGUGGCGAAGGCGACUUACUGGACACAUAUUGACGCUGAGGUGCGAAAGCGUGGGGAGCAAA